CAUUCUAUUAAUCCAAAUCAUAAAAAGGGAGAAAGAAGUAUAAAAAAUUAAAAUGUAAAUCUUAUUGGCAUCAUUUCAUUCAAGAAUUUAACAUUUUACCCAAAAAAAUUAAUUUGAUUCAAGAAUUCAAGAUAGACAAUUGGAUGGUUCACACAUUACAUAUCUCGUCUGGUAUAUUUGGAUGAACAUUUAUAAGAAGUACAGUGAUCUAUUUUAAUUACUGGUCAACAUUGAACCCCAUGAUAAAACUAAUGUUUACUUAAAAAAACUAAAUAUAAUUUGCAUGCAUAACAUCUUUCAAUGGACAAAGGGGUAGUUCCUGAACCUGCCACACAUCAAGAUUCGUUAAAAAGAGUCUACAUUUAAAUAUAGAUACGAAAAAUUAAUGUAAAAGGAACGGUGGGAAGACAUGAAUCACGCGUCGAAGACACACCUACCCGGAGGGUUAGAGAGGAAACAAAGAGACAAACAAAGAGAUGUGAGUUUGGUUUGGUUUUGGGUUUUUAAGGGGUUGGUAGGGUUUGAGGUCCAUAUGCCUCGAUCUUUCUCUUUUUUUUCUUUUAAUCUUUAUUACAAAAUUCGUCUAAUUAAAUCCACUCCAUGAUCCAUCGAACCAUGCAUACAUAGUAACAUAUAUAUAUAUAUAUAUAUCUAUAGUCCUAGCGAAGUUGUUGGAUUCAGUGCAAACACUUGUCAAAGGAGCAGUCCCGAUCUGAUUCCAUCUUAUUUUCGUUGCCUAUUCGACCUUGGCUUUGGCUUUUACCAUCACAUAUACAACUCUUUAAAUAAAAAUUGUUUUAAUCACAUAUAUCUUAGCUCUACGGUCAGAAUAGACACCAGAUACAAACUUUCGAUUCCUCAGGAAGUAACGACGACUCUUAGUAUACUUUGUUCUAUGUACAAGUUGUGAGAAAUACCCAUCGUCAGAUAAUUAGAAACACUAUUGACAGGCUUAAUUAAACUAUCAAUAAAUACGGUAACUUUUUCACCUCAUGAUACACGUAGGUUCUGUAUAUGCAUAUACAUUAUUAACAGUCAUGCAUAUACUUAUGGUUUUGCGUAUGUGGGGAUUUAACAAACAUGCUUAGCUAUAUGGAACUCUCUCACGUCAAUAUGUAUAUUAAUAUGCUUUGCAUAUACACAUAUCAUACACAAUAGGUAACCAUUUCCCUCAAACCGGAUUAGCCAAAUUCUUAAUUUAACACGAAUGUUUCUAUAUAUAUUUAGGUCUUUCAUGUCAUUAGUUUCUAUAGACAGUUGUUUAUUCAUAUCGAAUGUAAAACUUUAUACAAAACUAAGAAAGAAAAUCUCUAUCUAUAUCCGACCAUAUAAAUUUUGUACAUAUGUUGAGAAAAAAUAAGACUUAUAAGCAUACAUACGUUCAAUCCGAUAUAUAUAUUUACUAUUGUAUGAUAUAUAUAUAUAUACGUAAUACGUCUGUGCCUGUGAUAAAGUUAUUUAUGUUAAACCAUAAUUAAAAGAAGCUAAACCUCAGAAGCUAAAUGUUUAUAUCGUCAUCCAGAUCAGUCACAACUCGACACCAUGUAGUAGUUGAUGAUAAGAAGGAUGCAUGAAUGAAAUAAUCGAUAAGGGUUAUAAUUUAGGGUUCGAGGACAGAUCGAGGCCAAGGUCGAACAGACAACGAAACAAAGAUGAGAACAAAUAAGAUUGCUCACUUUGACAAGCCUAGCAUCGAACCCAACCACUUUUGAUCAUCAUCAUCUCCGUCUUCUCUUCUGAUAUCUACCAUGUAUUUUUUUAUUUUUUUAGUCUCAAUAUUAUUCUUAAGAGCUUAUAAGAAAAAUAGGAUAUUUUUGUGAAGGAGGACUGAGGAACCCUAGAUACUUUAUAGAAGAAGAUAUACAGUGGAGGUGG
rnacentral:lncRNA from 1 species